GUUACCGAAAUCAAAAACAAGUGGCGAAAUAUAAGAGACAAUUUCGUCCGCUCUAUCAAUGCAGAAAAAAGCGGAGCACCGGGAGGGAAGAAAAGGAAAUAUGUAUUUGCCGAUGCUCUUCAGUUUUUGCUUAAUUCUCUUCAGAAAAGGAGAACUACCGGUAACAUGACAGAAGACGAGCUGGGCGAACAAGACCAAGACACGCCAACAGAAAUCGGCAACCAAGAAACAUCAAACGUAUCACCAAGCACAUCCACUUCUGCCUCCUCAUCGUCCGUUCAUCGAGAAGAAACUUUCAAACACCGCCGGCCGCAACAAAAUACAAUAAUGACAAAAUUUCAAACAGAACUUCUAAACAAACUUAACCAGCCCGAAGAUACAAGUGACCCAGAUAAAAUGUAUCUCCUUUCACUGCUUCCCAUGUACAAAUCGUUAAGUGAUAUUGAAAAACUCAGGUUUCAACAACACAUUAUAAAUUUCAUGAUUUCAGUUAAGGAAAAAACAGCGCCUACUGCCCAUCCAACAUUCCAAACUAGCCAUCAGCACACCUUCAACUUGUCCCGACCCUCGACGACAUAUGAAAGGGCUGCACACGUCGCAACCGCCCCUCCAUCACAACAGCUCACCUUUCAGCUUCACCCUUUUCAAAAUCCCAUAGCCUCAAGCAGCCAACAUGACACUUCACCUGAGUACCGACCCUCACCAUCAUACAGUGUUUCGGAACCUACACCAUCGCCUGAUUUCAUGUCCCAUCAUAGCAGUGCAGAUAUCUGAAAUAACCCUUGCAGCUGUAAUGUGCAAAAUUGUUCACAAUCACUUAAAUAUUAAUAAAGUUUGUUACCUACCUUA